AUUCAAGAUGGAGUUGCUCUGGUUCACGUGCCUCUGACAUUUCCAAUAAGGAUGGACCUAUCUGGAGGGUACAGGAGCCUGGUUUAUGUGAACCAUGAAAAGCAGCUUCCUGAGAGGAAAAGAACCAAAUUCAUUGCCUGUGAUUUUCUGACCGAGUGGUUAUACAACCAAAAUCCAAAGAGGGCAGGGGAGCCAUUCACAGAAUUUUUCUCCAUUCCAUUUGUGGAGGAGCGGCUAAAGCAACAGUGAGUAUGACACAAGGCUUUGAAUAAUUUAUUCCUAAUUUAAGAUUGCGUUAAUAAUAGUUUUCUUCCAUCUAAGAGAACAAACUGAUGUGAUCCAUCCAGGACUCUGGGCCAGUCAUAUUUGUGACUCCUGUCUCUAGUUAUUCUUAGCCUAGGCUAACCUUAUCCUAAUCAGGCCAGUAAUUUCAUUCAAGAAGCGCUCCAGAAAUAAAAUAGAAAACUUAA
rnacentral:sRNA from 1 species